CGGCGCCAUGUCAGAGCUCGCGCACUCAGCCCCGCCGCUCUCGCGCUGUUCAACUGAGGUAGCGCGGAGUCUUUUAGCCCCACCGCAAUCUCCUCUCAGCCAGCAGUAACUCUGAAACAGCGAUGUUCAUCGGGUGCCAACGCGAUACCGAUGAGUAGCACCGCCUGGAAGUGACGCAGCGGAUUUGCCUUCAAACCGGCGGCGGCGGCAGGAGGCGGGCGGAGCUGGGCGGGGUUACCGAGCCGGAGGAGAGAAGGAAGGCGAAGGGACGAGGGAGCUGCUGCCGGGCUGUGGGCCGUGCGGGUGAGACCCGCGGCGUUCACUCCAACGUGGAGCGUCCCCGUCCUCGUCCUCCGCUGGCGGCCGUCGCGCGGGGCCGCCUUCCCGAGCUUCAUGUUGAACAUGAGCCUUGUUAUGAUCAGUGAGAAUGUAAAGCUGGCCCGUGAAUAUGCCUUACUGGGAAACUAUGACUCUGCAAUGGUCUACUAUCAGGGAGUUCUUGACCAGAUGAAUAAAUACCUCUACUCUGUCAGAGAUACGUACCUGCAGCAGAAGUGGCAACAGGUUUGGCAGGAGAUAAGCGUGGAAGCUAAGCACGUGAAAGAUAUCAUGAAAACACUAGAGAGUUUUAAACUAGACAGUACUCCACUGAAAGCUUCACAACAAGAACUACCAGCUAAUGAUGCAGAAGUCUGGUCUUUGCCAGUACCUGCUGAGCGGAGAUCUUCACCAGGACCCAGAAAACGUCAGUCUGCUCAAUACAGCGAUUGCAGAGGUCACAAUAAUCGCAUAAGUGCAGCUGUUAGAGGCCCUCACCGUCCAUCUUCUCGAAAUCCCAAUGAGAAAGGAAAGGCAGUCCGUGGCCGGGAGAAAAAGGAUCAGCAGAAUAAAGGAAAAGAGGAGAAGAACAAACCCACAUCUGAAAUUUCAGAGUCUGAACCAAAGAAAUUUGAUAGUACUGGAUACGAUAAAGAUUUAGUAGAAGCUUUGGAAAGAGAUAUAAUUUCUCAAAAUCCCAACAUUCGAUGGGAUGACAUUGCUGAUUUAGUAGAAGCUAAAAAACUGCUCAAGGAAGCUGUUGUUCUUCCAAUGUGGAUGCCUGAUUUUUUUAAGGGAAUUAGAAGACCAUGGAAGGGUGUGCUGAUGGUUGGUCCUCCUGGUACUGGAAAGACCCUUCUGGCAAAAGCUGUAGCAACUGAAUGCAAGACUACUUUUUUCAAUGUUUCUUCUUCCACACUUACCUCAAAAUACAGGGGAGAAUCUGAGAAACUUGUUCGUUUGCUCUUUGAAAUGGCUCGAUUUUAUGCCCCAACAACCAUAUUUAUUGAUGAAAUAGACUCUAUCUGUAGUCGACGGGGAACUUCAGAAGAGCAUGAGGCCAGCCGACGUGUGAAAGCAGAACUGCUAGUUCAGAUGGAUGGUGUUGGAGGAGCCACAGAAAAUGAUGACCCUUCUAAAAUGGUCAUGGUACUUGCAGCUACUAAUUUUCCUUGGGAUAUUGAUGAAGCCCUGAGAAGAAGACUAGAAAAGAGAAUUUACAUUCCGUUACCAUCAGCAAAAGGUAGAGAGGAACUCCUAAGAAUAAAUCUGCGGGAGCUGGAACUGGCUGAUGAUGUUGACCUUGCAAAUAUAGCUGAGAAAAUGGAGGGUUAUUCAGGUGCAGACAUUACCAACGUGUGCAGAGAUGCAUCGUUGAUGGCUAUGAGAAGGCGUAUCGAAGGCUUGACACCAGAAGAGAUAAGAAAUCUUUCUCGAGAUGAAAUGCACAUGCCAACAACGAUGGAAGACUUUGAAAUAGCUUUAAAGAAGGUUUCUAAGUCUGUAUCUGCUGCGGACAUUGAGAAAUAUGAGAAAUGGAUAGUUGAAUUUGGAUCCUGCUGAGUUGUCUUAUCUUGAAGCCGUCUAACAUCUUAAAACACCUUCAGAAGUGAUCAGUGUUACUGUGAGCUUAAGAACUGGUGCAUUCACUACACGUUUGUUCUGCUAGCGCUGUUCUGAUAAGCCAGGAUAGUUGUGAUAUCUUGGUAAGUUCAGAAUGUGAUGCCUGCCCCUAUCCAGUGGAGUUCUACGUGUUCAAAGGAACAGAUGCUUCGGAGGCUGAGACAACAGGGCAGCUAUGAUUGCACCUGUAUCCUUCUCAACUCAUGUAUGGAAAACGAGACCUGAAGCAACUGGCAUGCAGGACAGUUUCCCUUGUUAUCUGUGGCAAGGAGUCUUCAUAACUAUUUUGCAAAAUGGUUCAGAUUUGUUCCAGCUCAACUUGGCCCUCCUCUGAAAGGAAUGUCACCAAGUCAUCUUCCCAUUUCUCUGGAGACAGAGGAGAAAAAAAGAGGAGGGGAAAAAAACCAACAAAGGAAAAACAACAAUGGGACCGUACCUUGUAGGAGGACUGAGGUUCUAUCCUAAGAGGUGUUUCUGGUAACUUGCCAGGUAAUGUCUCUUCAUCCACUGUGGUUUCUACCUGCCAGAUCAGAUACUGACUGGUAGUUUGCAGUGGAUCUUGAAUAUCUAAAGAAGAAAAAGUGGAUGUAGUGGGAGGGUUGUUGCGGAGGGGUGGGUAUUAUUAUUAUUAUUAUUAUUAUACUCUAAGCUAGGAAGCAAAAUCAUGUUGCAUUUCAUUAAGGUCAAAGAAAGCCAACAAUUUUUUUCCACUUGAUAAGAAGCAGCAGUAUUCUUAGUAUUCUUAUUACCAUGCAGCCCUUAGCUAUGAAUUUCAGCUGUCAGCAGGUUUUAAAAGUGAUAAACUAGAUAAAAAUAUUUAUCUCCUAAGAAAUCUGCGAAUUUUUGAUUGAACUAAAUUGAAAUAAGAUUAAAGUAUCCAAUAACUUCUCUGUCUUUAAAGAUAUUCAAGUUUAAUAACUGUCUCUGAUUUGGAAGUGACCCAGACAGGUAUUUCCUCCACAGUUUUCCCUUUUGAUCUCAGGAAAAAGGGGGAGCUUUAGGGAAAUCUCUGUGACAGCACGAGAGAAAUUCAUGUAAAUGUCUGGGCUAUGAUUUUACAAGCACCAAAUAAUUCAAAGGAGAACAGAUUUGGAAACAAAACAAAAGAAAUAACUAGAAUAUAGAAAAGUGGAAUUCAGGUGUAAAUAUAUUAAAAGAAAACACAAAAAACUUAAUGGUUAAUCUGACAACUGUUUAGCUGUGUACAAUGACACUGGAAUAGCAAUAACAGUUAUUUUGUCCUUGUAAAUCAGCAUGUAAAUUUAUGCUCAAAAAUAUUAUGCAACAGCUAAGAUACCUUUUCCUGAGAGGUUGGGAAGUGUAAAUAGCACGUCGUUGUCCCUCGGGAUGGAAUACAGCAUGCUCUCUUUCAAAGGGACAGUGUAGUUUGAAUGUCUCAGUACCCUCAGGUCCUUCACUAAGAUAUCUAUUUCUGUUACUUCUUCCUGCUGAACCUGCAAGAGAUGCAAACAGAUUGAUAAUGUUGAGUUUAAAGUGAAGACAAAGUAGGCUGGCAAAGAGAACCAGUAUGUGCUUGUAAACUCCAAGCCAGUAAGAUUUAGAUGGAUGUUGUAACGUGAAUCAUUACUCUUAGCUUUACUUAACACACUUCCACAGCUGGAUUAUAAUAAUAAUAUAAUAAUAAUGCUGUAUUUGUAUGUGUGCUGAAUAGACCACAUCUUCCUCUCCCUGCAAUAACACAUCACAGUCAAUCUGCGGGCUUUCAUCAAGGUCUUACAGAGCUCCUCUUGUCAGGAAAGCACUUUAAAGCAUGAAAAACUCAAAUAUAUAUUAAAGGGCACGUGGAAACAUUUAGUGUGUUGCUCAGAUGAGACUGACACUGAUGCUUUUGUAGUCAUUGCUUUUAUUUUUUUGUUUCCCUAACAAGUGGAAAAAAUCCUGCUGAGAUACUCAUUGCUGCUUUUGUUUAGCUUUAAAAGAAAUAUAAGGUAAAAUGAUUUCAUUCAGAGCAGACAAAAAUGAAGUAUGGAUUAACUAUGUGCUCACGUAUUCAACUCUCCUACUACAGGUUGAUGUAAAGCAGUUUGUCAGCAGAUACAUGUCUUCAAAAAGGAAUGCAGGAGAUGAUGUGGUUUCACUCAUGCUUUCAGAGCCAUUAUCCUUUUGCUUUUAACAUGUGCAGAACAAUACAACUAAAAAGAUGACUUACUGUCAGCUGAUAUCAAAUUAGAAAGAUUGAAAGCUUCUGACUUACAAGAACAAUUUGGGAAACAGAAUGAGGUUUCUGUGUGUUCUUACCAGAUGUCUGUGCUAACCCAAUAUGCAUUUUGAUGUCUAGUUUAAGAUCUGAACUACUACAACGCUAUUGGCUAACAACUGUACCAAACCAAAGUAUAUUAGCCAACAGUGGGGUAAGGACUUCAUUAAAAAAGCUUCAGAUCUGAGUGAGAUCAUUGCUUUUAUUAAGAGAAAAAGAAAAAAAUCACAGAGAAACACAUCAUGCCAGAAGUUCUUCAUGUUGAGCAUACAUUUAAUUAGUGAUCAAUGGUAUUAUCAUCAUCUUCCUAUUAAAAAAGUGAAGCAGAAUAUAGGACAGCAGCUCUGUCUUCUAACUAAAACCUGUCAGGUUGGAGAAGUAUGACCUAUAGGUGACUGUGACAACUCAUUUCUGCACAUUUUGAUCAGCUCAGUUGUAGCCCCUCACACUCACUGCUGUGUGUGCAAAUACAGUUAGAAGUUUUCUAGUUUUUAUUUUGCUGUUCAUCUCAAAAUAAAUAAAUAUUAUUAUUCAGAUAAUUAGCUUGAAUACAAAACACCCUAAGGCUAAGCCCUCAGAUGAUCUUCCCUUAGUGAGCCCUCUUAAGAGAAUGCUGCUGCAAACUGUGUGGUUGAAAUGUUUUAUUAGCUUGGAAUAAAUAAUGGGCAAAAUCUCGAGCCUCAGAAUGAGCACGUGUACAAAAUUAUUAAAAGGGCACUACUUUGAGAAUGAAAUAUUGCUGGUGAGUUUGACUUUCCUUGCGUUUUGGAAAAGUUCAUGAUAUUCUAACAAGCUUAAUGGAAAGUCAUCCAACUGCUAACUACUGAGAUAAGAAUGUAAACGUUAAAGCUUAAAUUCUCCUCGUGAAACACCUCUGCUGACCCAGGUUGGUUUUAUCUCCCUCAGCACCGUGCUAGCCAGCAUUAGAUUAUAUACUUUGGACCUUGACCACCAUCCACACACGUGUAAACCUUUUAGCUUGUAGUUCCUAUUUGCCUCUCCUGAACUCAGAACAAGCAGAGUGUUAUUUUUUUCUUACCUGUCUUCCAUCAAUUUCCGUCACUUCUUCCUGAAUGACGAUCAGCUGCAAAUCAGAACUGGAUGCCAAAGGCCACUCGUGAACCAUGAUGCGAACGCUGACAGUUCCCAGGCGCUGCUGCUCUACUGUGUCAUCCACACUUCCAUUCUCCACUGUUAAAACAUAAUGGCAUAGUUUUCAAAGAGAAACCAUCCCAAAUGGUAUGAUGGAAUUCUCCAUGGAGCACACAGAUGUGAACAGUGUGGUAUCCCUGCAGG